GCCGGGAAAAGCGCAUUUUACUGAAAGGAAUGUUUUAUGAAAAGGGUUGUACUUCCUACAAUCCCUUAAAUAUGUUCCUUGUACACUAAUGCAACACCAAAUCUCAUUUUCUCAAUCGCCUGAAAGAUUCAAAGCCACUGUUUUUGAGAUUUCAUUAUUUGGGUUUAAAAUCCACAUUGAAUGACAGGACUGCUUCAUGCCAUUCGAUUUUUGUUUUCCUUCAGAAAUACCAAAUACAGGCGAUUUGGGCCCCCUCUAAUCUUGCUGUUUGUCCUUCAUUCUGGAAGAGAACCAUGGCACCAGGAAGGUGAUAGCAGUCUUUCACUAGGUCACAAUACUGACAGCAAAAGAAUUGGGAUCCACUCCUUUCAAAAUCGGGUAAUGCACUCUAUCAAGGUUCAGUCUAAAUCUGUCUACAGUGGGAGAAAAAAUCUGAAAAGCCAUAAAAAAAUGAAGACCAGGAAUUGGAAUAUGGUACAGACAAUUCUCAUUUUCUGUAACUCUGCAUUAUUCAAAUUUGACUCCCCUGCAGGCCAGGGUCAGAACCCCCUCAGUGAGGCUCUGGCUGUGGCAGGCAGCAGUAACACCAGUGAAGCUGUUCUCUCAUACUGAUAAAGGUUAUCACUACACUUUCCAAUCAUUAAUUCAGAUGUGCUGCUUGAUGCUGUCACUGUUAUUGCUUUUCAUACUUUACAGAUGAGUGAACUGAGGCACACCAAAGAAGUUACCGAUAGUGCCAUGGCAGUGAGCAGAAAAUGAGAUUCAAGUUUGAGGAUUUCCAUUCAACUUUUCUUACUAAAGCAUCUAGCACUCUUUCAUACUGAUAAAUACAGCCUAUUAAGUCUGCCUUCUAUGGGAAUAACUGUGAAAUCUACCUCUGAAGUUAAAUGUAGAUGAUCAUUCUGCUUUCAGCUUAUGUUGAGUAUGAGACAUGCUUCUUGGAGUCUUAAACUACAACAUUUAUAUUCAGAUAUUUCUACAAAGAAAAUUCAUUUAAACUCCGUGACAGAAUCAUGAAUUAUAACAGAUUUUCAAAAGAAUUCAUCUUGGACAGCAGGCAUUUAAACCCAGCAUAAAGAACUGAGUCUCUAAAGAGCCUAAACUCCAGAAAGUGUUUCUACUAAAAGCAACUGUUUACUUAGUCUAUGAGAAUGUUGUCAUGUUCACAACUGAUGAAAACCUGACCCUACCAGGGCUGUACCAGACUGCUGUGUCCCAGGCUGCCAGAGAGAUGGUAUGAAAAAAAAGCCAUCUCAGAAGCUUCCCAUGAAAGCCGCCCUCCGGCUCAACACCACGUCAUCACAUCUAUCCUGUGGCUCUGGCAGACCAGAAAUAAUAGACUGAGGCAUUGCGAGGAACUUGGAAUUCUACUCUUCCCCUUCCCUGACAUUUCCUCAUUUAAACCACAGAUCGAGUCUUCAGCUUAAAUCAACACCACACAGAAACCAAAAUAUUCCAGAGCUUUUAUCAUUUGAAAUGAUUUGCAAUCCUCCCCAGCACUCCUUUCCUGUACUUGCACACAGUCUAUAAAACUGAAGCCAACAUCUGUUCCUGUCCCAGGGGAUGCCAGAACAGAUGUUUUAUGUUGUACAAAUACAGCCCACCACCCUUUUAAUGAGAGGCCCAGUUAUGUUUCCUUAAGAUUAUGAGAAUCACCUAGGAGUACUUUGGUUAUUGCUAAGCCAUUCACCUAAGGUGAUAAUAAUUGAUUCCAACCGCAUGUCAAAGAAUGUGGCAUCCUUCUCAUUUCAAAAAGCGUGGGGUAGGAAGACAGGUUAUUUGGUUAGUUCUUUUCUUGCCCAGCUGUUUUAACUGCCCUUCCUCUAACAUCAAUUUGCUUUGUGAUGUAGGUGCCACCUAAAAAGCAGCUCCUUUGAGGGCUUCUGAUCAAGCAUCUGAGACCCUCACAGGAUUUACUUGUAGGCCAUAGCAGCAAUCUGCCUCAUAAGUCUAAUUUUGGAAGAAUGACUUUUUCUCCUAAUGCCAAAAAGAUGAACAUUUACACACAUACACACACACACAAAAUGUACAAAUUCUUAUCUGCUAAAGUGUUGAUACUGUUUACAGGCAAAAACCAGAUCAUCAAUAAUUAUGCCUUUUUAAAAGCUCCUAAAUCUUUAUGCUCUGAUAUUUCAAUCCAACAGCCGGUUUGGGGCUGCACUAAAUAGCAGGCGACACCUCUCCCUUGCUAUUCAUACUACUGCUCAGCUUGGGAGAAAUUCCCAGUUAAUAAUUAACAACCGGAGGUAGUCUGGGAACGGCAUUUACUAACACAGUCCAUUUGCUACUGAGCCGUACAAACAAUACCAAGUCAGCAUCCUCAAGGCUGCUCAAAAGGAGAUCUCUCAUCGAGAGAGCCUAAAUUAGCUCUGCUUAGUGCUUAGAUGAGUCUACCCAAGUUGGUUCAGAUUUUGUCCCUGCCAAUUUAUGCCUGAAGUUGAGCCUCUUAGCUGAAGAGACUAUAAAGGGUAAGAUCCUUCAGCGUUAGUUACAAAAAGUCUUACCUGCAGCUCACAGAGUACCUUGCACUUAGUAGAUGCUCAGUAAGAAUUGACCAAAUGAAUGAACCAAGGUAAUCCUCACCUUUUAGACAAGACUUUCUUAACUGCCAUUAAAUGGCAGUGACCACUGAUAAGAAACCAAAUUGAGCCAGAUGUGAUCUGGCGCAUAAACUUCCAGAUCCAAAUUGAUACCAGAUCUCGACUAAAAGAAGAAAUUUGAUGGGGCCUGAUAACCCUUUCCUCUUCCUGGCUGCCCACAAUAACUGCUAUGAAUUUCUAGCUGCCCAUUAAACUGUGGAUUUAUUUUCUAACAUUAAAAAAGAGCUAUUAGGCCUUUGAAAACAAGAAGGGAGGUCCUGGGGACAAUCAGAUUCACUGUGUAAAUACAGAGAAGACUGAGUUCUGAGGCUGCAAAAACAAAAAAAGGCAAGGAGUUUAGGGGAAUAAUAAUGAUGAUGAUGAUGAUGAUGAUAAUAAUAAUAAUAAUAUCUCAAGGAUUUGUGAUUUCUCCAUGCUGGAGUAUAUUAUGGUCUGUAUUACUAUGAAAAGAAUAAAAAUUCAU